UUUAUCACUUGAAGAUGGCUGUGCGGCUGAUUAGGUAGUUGGCGGGGUAACGGACCCACCAAGCCUGCGAUCAGUAACUGGUGUGAGAGCACGACCAGUCACACGGGCACUGAGACACGGGCCCGACUCCUACGGGAGGCAGCAGUAAGGAAUAUUGGUCAAUGGACGAAAGUCUGAACCAGCCAUGCCGCGUGGAGGAUGAAGGUCCUCUGGAUUGUAAACUUCUUUUAUAUGGGACGAAAAAAGGGCUUUCUAGCUCGUCUGACGGUACCAUAUGAAUAAGCACCGGCUAACUCCGUG
rnacentral:rRNA from 1 species